CUCUCACCUCCCUUUCCUCUCGUUUCUUCGUUCCUGAUCACUUUAUUGAUGAGGUUUUAUUUAGUGAUUUCGAUGCGUUUAUGAGUGGAUCUGGUAAUUGGUUUUGUCAUCAGAGAGUAUCUCGAUUUUCCGUUCGAUUCUCCCAUCAAGAUAAAUUUCUUCUCUAUAUCUCUUCUGAGGAUCUCUUCUGAUGUUUGUUGGAUCUUCUCAUAUUUGUUGAGAAAAAAAAUUAAGGAUUCACAAUUUUUAUGUUUCUUCAUUUGAUUUCAUGGAAUUUAAAUCAUGGGUUUGGUUUUAAUUUCAGUUUUAUGAUCUCAGUUUUGAGUUAGGUUAUUAUAUUUGUGUUUGUCUUAACAGUAUUUCAUCAUUUAGAUCUGAAAUUUGUGGGAUUUAUAAUGAUUUUGGUUUGUGAUUUUUUUAGAUAUUGAGUAGAUUAGUCGAAAGCUGAGAAGCGGGAACAAUUAGAGGGUGAUCCAGCUCUUGGAAUCGACAGUAAAUGCUGCUAAUGACUCUUGGGUUUUGAGGGUUCUGGUGAUGAUGGUGUGGUGGUGCUGAUGAGAAAAAAGAGUAAUCUGUUUUAAUUGAAAGAUCUGAGUUUGGCCUCGUACUUUAAGGAAAUUGAGGUGUGGAAACAAAAGACAAUCUUGAACAGAAGACCAACAGAAUUGCACAUUAAGUAGAGAAAAAGCCUGAAAGUACAGAAAAAAGGGUCAUCCUUGGAGUUCAGAACUACAAUGAUAUAACAGUACCUAUUGAUAUUCUAAUAUUCAGGCUCAUGAAAUCCUGUAUGCGCUCAUCAUAUCUAUAUAAAGUUACAUUAAGAGUGUGGAUGAAACAAGACAUGAUGUUGCACCAUAGAUGUUACUAAGUAUCUUGCCUACACCGUCAAGUAUGCAAUUUUGACCAAGAUGGAUGUUCUGAUCUUGAGCAUAUGAGGCCCUAAUUAAUAAGAUCCUCCUCCAGUUGAGAAAUAAGUAGUGGAUACUCUUAUUUGUAUGAGAGACUUUGGCAGUCAGGAAGUAUAUAUUGGAUCAAUCACUUGGAAAUACCUACGAGAGCCUACCUCUUUGCCCCUUUUCCUCUGGAUAUUAAUCGAAUGAGUUUGCAUUUGCUUAUGAAUCAAUUGUAGUGCCGGCCUGCAACAUGAAUUCAGGUUAGGAGUACUAGAUGCCAAUGCUGAAACUGGUGCAUCCAAAGAGAACUAAGUUCUUUUGUUCUUGAUCUUCGUUGUGCUCUUCAGGUAUUUCCACUCCAAAUCUUAGGUGUUUGAGCUUUGAAGUUGAGCAUCCAGCUGCUUAAGUUGAUAGAUACAUUUGUCAUGCCUGUAACCUAUAUUCUUGUACCAACUAAGCAGCUGGAGAGGAUUUUGUUUUUGUCCGAGAGUACUUGAAUAAGAUUAAAUUGUUUUUGGGUA